rnacentral:rRNA from 1 species
UGGGGAAUAUUGGACAAUGGGCGAAAGCCUGAUCCAGCAAUGCCGCGUGUGUGAAGAAGGCCUGCGGGUUGUAAAGCACUUUCAGUAGAGAAGAAAAGCCUGGGACUAAUACUCCCGGGUCUUGACGUAACCUACAGAAGAAGCACCGGCUAACUCCGUGCCAGCAGCCGCGGUAAUACGGAGGGUGCAAGCGUUAAUCGGAAUUACUGGGCGUAAAGCGUGCGUAGGCGGUUGGGUAAGUCGGAUGUGAAAGCCCCGGGCUUAACCUGGGAAUUGCAUUCGAUACUGCUCAACUAGAGUGUGGGAGAGGGAAGUGGAAUUUCCGGUGUAGCGGUGAAAUGCGUAGAUAUCGGAAGGAACACCAGUGGCGAAGGCGACUUCCUGGCCCAACACUGACGCUCAGGCACGAAAGCAUGGGGAGCAAACAGGAUUAGAUACCCCCGUAGUCC